CCUACGGUAGGCAGCAGUGGGGAAUAUUGGACAAUGGGCGAAAGCCUGAUCCAGCCAUGCCGCGUGUGUGAAGAAGGCCUUCGGGUUGUAAAGCACUUUCAGUGGGGAAGAAAGCCUUGGGGCUAAUACCCUCGAGGAAGGACAUCACCCACAGAAGAAGCACCGGCUAACUCCGUGCCAGCAGCCGCUGUAAUACGGAGGGUGCGAGCGUUAAUCGGAAUUACUGGGCGUAAAGCGCGCGUAGGCGGUCUGAUAAGCCGGUUGUGAAAGCCCCGGGCUCAACCUGGGAACGGCAUCCGGAACUGUCAGGCUAGAGUGCAGGAGAGGAAGGUAGAAUUCCCGGUGUAGCGGUGAAAUGCGUAGAGAUCGGGAGGAAUACCAGUGGCGAAGGCGGCCUUCUGGACUGACACUGACGCUGAGGUGCGAAAGCGUGGGUAGCAAACAGGAUUAGAUACCCCUGUAGUC
rnacentral:rRNA from 1 species